rnacentral:rRNA from 1 species
GUAGUCCAUGCCGUAAACGUUGGGCACUAGGUGUGGGGGACAUUCCACGUUUUCCGCGCCGUAGCUAACGCAUUAAGUGCCCCGCCUGGGGAGUACGGCCGCAAGGCUAAAACUCAAAGGAAUUGACGGGGGUCCGCACAAGCGGCGGAGCAUGCGGAUUAAUUCGAUGCAACGCGAAGAACCUUACCAAGGCUUGACAUGGGCCGGAUCGCCGCAGAAAUGUGGUUUCCCCUUUGGGGCCGGUUCACAGGUGGUGCAUGGUUGUCGUCAGCUCGUGUCGUGAGAUGUUGGGUUAAGUCCCGCAACGAGCGCAACCCUCGUUCUAUGUUGCCAGCGCGUUAUGGCGGGGACUCAUAGGAGACUGCCGGGGUCAACUCGGAGGAAGGUGGGGACGACGUCAAAUCAUCAUGCCCCUUAUGUCUUGGGCUUCACGCAUGCUACAAUGGCCGGUACAAAGGGUUGCGAUACUGUGAGGUGGAGCUAAUCCCAAAAAGCCGGUCUCAGUUCGGAUUGGGGUCUGCAACUCGACCCCAUGAAGUCGGAGUCGCUAGUAAUCGCAGAUCAGCAACGCUGCGGUGAAUA